rnacentral:rRNA from 1 species
AGUGAACGCUGGCGGUAGGCCUAACACAUGCAAGUCGAACGGCAGCACAGUAAGAGCUUGCUCUUACGGGUGGCGAGUGGCGGACGGGUGAGGAAUACAUCGGAAUCUACUUUUUCGUGGGGGAUAACGUAGGGAAACUUACGCUAAUACCGCAUACGACCUACGGGUGAAAGAAGGGGAUCUUCGGACCUUGCGCGAUUGAAUGAGCCGAUGUCGGAUUAGCUAGUUGGCGGGGUAAAGGCCCACCAAGGCGACGAUCCGUAGCUGGUCUGAGAGGAUGAUCAGCCACACUGGAACUGAGACACGGUCCAGACUCCUACGGGAGGCAGCAGUGGGGAAUAUUGGACCAUGGGCGCAGGCCUGAUCCAGCCAUACCGCGUGGGUGAAGAAGGCCUUCGGGUUCUAAAGCCCUUUUGUUGGGAAAGAAAAGCAGCAGGUUAAUACCCCGCUGUUCUGACGGUACCCAAAGAAUAAGCACCGGCUAACUUCGUG